GAUCCUGGCUCAGAAUCAACGCUGGCGGCAUGCCUAACACAUGCAAGUCGAACGCGGUUACCGCAGUUCCGCAAGGAAUUGUGGUGACUGAGUGGCGAACGGGUGAGUAACGCGUGGGUGACCUACCUUCGAGUGGGGGAUAACGUCCCGAAAGGGACGCUAAUACCGCAUGACAUCCUGCCUUUGAACAGGCGGAGAUCAAAGCUGGGGAUCGUAAGACCCGGCGCUUGAUGAGGGGCCCGCGUCCGAUUAGCUAGUUGGCGAGGUAACGGCUCACCAAGGCGACGAUCGGUAUCCGGCCUGAGAGGGCGGACGGACACACUGGGACUGAGACACGGCCCAGACUCCUACGGGAGGCAGCAG
rnacentral:rRNA from 1 species